AGUUGAGGAAACAUGUAACUUGAGGUCUGCUCAAGAGUUAGGACGACCGACUUGUCUCUGACCAUCAUCCUAAGAGGAUGAGUGAAGAUUUUGUGAAUUUUUCAUAAAUCGCUUGAUCAUCGAUUUAUGAAAAAUUCUUCCGCUACGGUAGAGUUGUGUUACGUUUAAGUAUGUGCUAAGGUUUCGAGUACAUUUGAAAACUAAAUUAAUGCUAGAACGAAGUAGAUUAGAGAACCCAUUGCUCCGCACGCCACAUUUUGAACACCCCUGCGAAAGCGAUUUCAUCUCAACCCAACCACCGAAACAGCAAUCAUCACGUUACACAGUGGGCUGCCAUCAGUGUCGCAAACAGUCAUUGAGAGAGCGUGAGAAUGGUAUGGAGUCAACCCGCACUCGAUAAUAUACACAAGCGAUCGCCGCAACAGACUCGACGACGACGACGACGACGUUGGUGUCCGUCUACACGAAAGAACAGGGAGCAUAAUCGUGUGAGAAGUUCGGCAGCAGAGAAACGCUUACGCUUAGCCUCGGCAGCAAACACGACGGAGCGAGCAAGAUAGAAAGCAUUGCUUCUCUUCACGCCGCUCUGAGUAAUUCGCACCAAUACUUUCGCGGACGGCAGUCAGAGGUGGGAACAGAGAAGUCAAGUCGAUGACGAGGAUCAGUUCCAUCUAGUGAGCAGGCCACAUCACACGGUAGAUCCACGUCGGCCGAGAACAAAAACCGUCUCCACCACAGUUUGCAGGAGGUAAAGCGCGUGGGUUUGGUGGAUCUACGAAAACUGAUAUUCUGGUCCCAAGUGAGUGUUAAUUAGAACCGUUAAACCCGUGUGGAAGUGAGCAAUUACGUCGUGGUCUGUGGACGGUCGUUGGUCCUCGCGAACAUCCAUAUUGGAUUGGCACAGUUGGGUGCUCGUCCGAUCCAGAGUGAAGCCUCUGAUCCGCCAUCUUAAAACAUCGAUUGGGGGAAUUUCCCACGUGUUUAAAAGCAAGUUUUUCCCACCUUUUGACGAGCGAUCCGGACAGAGCACUGACGUCCGUGCCAGCAGACCAGUGCUACAGUGUGGUCUCACCAGAUUGGGACAGUGACAGGAGAACACCGAGAUUGAUCAGCAAGGAAACCAACUGUUUGUACAGUGUCACCUCAUCGCAUUCGUACAGCGAAAGAGCAAGACCGCUCACGGAGUACCUUGGGCCGUCGCAAACGCGAACAUAAACCGUACUCUCGCUGGGUUCGACGGAAGGAAGAGCAAUCACCUCUGGACACCGCUCUAAGAGAUUCGAGGCCGCCAGCCGAAAGGCAUAAACAAAGCCUUCCACAGGAAGUAAGUGGAUUGGCCUGAUGCGAAGCCGGUCUAGAAGCUAACGUUGCGGCGCCUUAGGGCUUUGUUUUUUUUAUUCGCAGCUCAUCCAUCAACGGUUGGAGGCAACAGAUACUCAGAGGAAGCGAUUGCCCAGUAGCGACGAUUGGUCAGCAGCGAGCGGAAUCGGGACGAGUGGGCACACGAAUCGCGGGUGUCGGCUGUACCAACGGAUACCACCGAACAACACUCCACCAGGAGAGCCGCCGGGGGAGUUAGGCCCUGGCAAAGGCGGAUCGAAACGGAUCCGAGGACACCGGCGCGACGCUGGCACGGCGGGGUUUGAACCAUGCGCAGGAGGGUGACGCCGGCGAUGAUGGCUGCGGGCGGAGCAGCAAUGUGGUAGGGGCGCCCCAAGAGUGAGUACAGAGAAAAUGUAUAAUUAGAAUGUAAGAGGAAUAGCUAGAGAAAAGAAAGGAUAAGCAAGGAAGGAUAGGAAGAGGAGGCAGGAUGAUUAGGAGGAGGAAUCCAGAAUAAAUGUAAUUUCUGAAAAUUCUUUGCUUUGUGGAUUUUGAUUUCAGUUUUGUGGCUUUUCCCUGAGCUCUUCGGGACUGCUGA